rnacentral:rRNA from 1 species
AACGAACGCUGGCGGCAUGCCUAACACAUGCAAGUCGAACGAGACCUUCGGGUCUAGUGGCGCACGGGUGCGUAACGCGUGGGAACCUGCCCUUAGGUUCGGAAUAACUCCCCGAAAGGGGUGCUAAUACCGGAUAAUGUCUUCGGACCAAAGAUUUAUCGCCUUUGGAUGGGCCCGCGUUGGAUUAGCUAGUUGGUAGGGUAAAAGCCUACCAAGGCGACGAUCCAUAGCUGGUCUGAGAGGAUGAUCAGCCACACUGGGACUGAGACACGGCCCAGACUCCUACGGGAGGGAGCAGGGGGGAAUAUUGGACCAUGGGGGAAAGGCUGAUCCAGCAAUGCCGCGGGAGUGAUGAAGGCCUUAGGGUUGUAAAGCUCUUUUAACCGGGAUGAUAAUGACAGUACCGGGAGAAUAAGCUCCGGCUAACUCCGUG